GUGUGAGAUAUUGUACUGUAGUGGAAACAACAUUUCUGUACUUAUACUUAUGCAAGGUUAAAAUGACAGUUUUAGAUACAGACAGUAAGUGUUUAUAAGCCUAGCUCAAAUAUAACCGUCCGGAAAGUCUUGUCGAUGUCUUUUUAUUGAUGUAAAUGACCAGUUGCUUUGAUAUAAAAGCGACAGAGUCACGCCUUGUCAUGCACGUAAUAGGUUAAUAAGUGCAGGAUUCAACUGGUCAAAGUUGAGACGGCUUCUUUGGAGGUUUCAUUUCCAGUUUGCAAGUCCUUCCUGUUUGCAGAACCAAGCAGUGUGUAACCAGCCGAGACCAUGACGUCCCGUGCAAAACAAACUUUCUUCUUUCUGACGUCUGUUUUAUUCCUCGAUGUUGCUGCAGAUCCACAUGCACCUGAAGUCCACACAAAGCUGGGAAGCCUGAGAGGUCAGACUCUGAGUGUCAAGGGGCAGGAGAAUGGGGUCCAUGCCUACCUGGGUAUCCCAUUUGCAAAGCCACCUGUGGGCCCUGCUCUGAGACUGGCUGCCCCCCAGCCUGUGGAGGGAUGGGAAGGAGUGAGAGACGCCACCAAGCAGCCCCCCAUGUGUGUUCAAUAUAAAAAGUUAACCAUAGAUCUGUUGGAAAAACUUGGUGCCAUGGUCGUGGAUUUGCCAGACAUUUCAGAGGACUGCCUUUACCUCAACAUUUACACUCCUGCCAACAGAACUCCCGAUGCCAAGCUUCCAGUCAUGGUCUGGAUUCAUGGUGGAGGGUUUGGUAUGGGGUCAGCUUCCACGUAUGAUGGCUCCGCCCUGGCUGCUUACCAGGAUAUGGUCGUAGUUCUGAUCCAGUACCGUUUGGGACUUCUGGGCUUUCUCAGCACUGGAGAUGAGCACAUGUCUGGGAACUUUGGCAUGUUGGAUCAGGUAGAAGCUCUGAGGUGGAUCCAGCAGCACAUUCACAACUUUGGAGGAAACCCAGAUGUAGUUACAAUAUUUGGGGAGUCUGCUGGCGGAGUGAGCGUAUCUCUACUGCUCCUCUCACCGUUGUCUGAUGGCCUCUUCCAUCAUGCCAUUGCUGAGAGUGGCACUGCUGGAAUGGAUCUUCUUGUUUCAAAUAAUCCUCUACCAGUAGCACAGAUGGUGGCAAAUAUGUCUGGCUGUAGCCUCGAAAGCACACAGAAGAUCGCUGAUUGCAUGAGAAUCAUUGACGUAAAAACUAUUGAGGCUUUGGGAGAGGAUCUAACCUUGAAAAUCUCUGUAAAUGUUGAUGGACACUUCCUGAGAAAAACAGUGGACGAGCUGUUCCGUACACAUGAACUUCUUACCGUACCAUUCUUGACCGGCAUUAAUAAUGAUGAAGGGGGCUGGAUGAUUGCUGGUUUUUUUGCUCCUCCAAACUGGACAGAGGGGAUAGAUAAGGAGCAUUUGAUGAACUCUCUGUACCUCUUCUUCCCUAAUCCCGAAGAUGCAAUUCUUAGAGAGUUAGUGUUAGAGGAAUAUAUUGGAACGGGUGAAGAUCGUGUGAAAAAUAGAGACGGGUUCACCGAGCUGUUAGGGGAUAUGAUUUUUAACAUUCCUGCCAUUAAGACCGCUAUUGUCCACAGAGAUGCAGGUGCUGAUGUAUACCUGUAUGAGUACCAGUAUCCUCCACAAAUCCUGAAGUCAAGAAGGCCAAGCUUUGUUGGGAGUGACCACGGAGAUGAGAUCUUUACAGUUUUCGGAUUGUGCUUUACAACUACCCAUGUCACAUUACCCGAGCCAUGCACUGAGGAGGAGGAACAGCUUAGCAGAAAAAUGAUGAGCUACUGGAGCAACUUUGCUCGCACAGGGUCUCCUAAUGGGGAUGGGCUGGCCCACUGGCCAAAGUACAGCACAGGAGAAGAAUACUUGUCAAUUGAUUUAAAGGAGCAGGUAGCUGGCCAGCACCUUAGGGAGAAGAAGUUUGUCUUCCUGACUCAGACUCUCCCAGAGAAGAUCCGAAAAGAGAAGAUGAAGCGCAACGAGCUGUAGAACAGUCUCCGCCACCUUUCUCCUCUCAUCAUUUUUUUAUUCAGUGAUUCCAUUGUUAAAAAGUCAGUCAAAAGGCAUUGCAUAAUAUUCAUUAAUACAAUCAACAUUUUUGUGGUAAUCUCACAAUUACCACAAAAUCUGUUUAUUAAAAUGCACUCUGCAUUUUAAUAAACUUGGGAAGGAGAUCCUCAAUUUCUUUUACAAAUUACACAAUUUAACUCAAAUGUUUAAUGUUGGGUAAUAACCUUUUAUUUUAGAUAGUUUCAGGCAAUACUUCUUUAAAAUCUAGAAGCUUGAAAAUAAAUGCCUCCUUAAUUAGUGGGAUACUUCUAGUCUGUGAAAUGCAUUUAAUAAUCUGGAUUCCCAUAUCAAAUAAAAAUCUUCUGAAGCUGCAGUGUGAAACAUUGUACUGAA